GACAGGAUGUCUCAGUACAUACCAGUACCUUUGAGCACUACAUGGAUAAAUAGUUUUGGUUCAUCUUGAAAUGGAAGCUUCUGCUUGAAAUAAAGAAAUGAAGAAAUCACAUAUAACUGUUUCAAGAAAAACAAGAUCAAGUGGAUGGUAUAUAACAAAAGUAAUAAAUUUCUCAGUUAUGGGAGACAGCGAGGUGGAUA